rnacentral:rRNA from 1 species
UAAGACGAAGGAUGCAAGCGUUAUCCGGAUUCAUUGGGUUUAAAGGGAGCGUAGGUGGGUUUGUAAGUCAGUGGUGAAAGCCGGUCGCUUAACGAUCGAAUUGCCAUUGAUACUGCAGACCUUGAGUACAGAUGCUGUGGGCGGAAUAUGACAUGUAGUGGUGAAAUACAUAGAGAUGUCAUAGAACACCGAUUGCGAAGGCAGCUCACAAAACUGUAACUGACACUGAGGCUCGAAAGUGCGGGGAUCAAACAGGAUUAGAUACCCUGGUAGUCCGCACUGUAAACGAUGAUUACUCGCUGCUGGGAGGUAACUUUCAGUGGCUGAGCGAAAGCGAUAAGUAAUCCACCUGGGGAGUACGCCGGCAACGGUGAAACUUAAAUGAAUUGACGG